rnacentral:rRNA from 1 species
GUUCUCCCCGAAAGCUAUUUAGGUAGCGCCUCGUGAAUUCAUCUCCGGGGGUAGAGCACUGUUUCGGCAAGGGGGUCAUCCCGACUUACCAACCCGAUGCAAACUGCGAAUACCGGAGAAUGUUAUCACGGGAGACACACGGCGGGUGCUAACGUCCGUCGUGAAGAGGGAAACAACCCAGACCGCCAGCUAAGGUCCCAAAGUCAUGGUUAAGUGGGAAACGAUGUGGGAAGGCCCAGACAGCCAGGAUGUUGGCUUAGAAGCAGCCAUCAUUUAAAGAAAGCGUAAUAGCUCACUGGUCGAGUCGGCCCGCGCGGAAGAUGUAACGGGGCUAAACCAUGCACCGAAGCUGCGGCAGCGACACUGUGUGUUGUUGGGUAGGGGAGCGUUCUGUAAGCCUGUGAAGGUGUGCUGUGAGGCAUGCUGGAGGUAUCAGAAGUGCGAAUGCUGACAUAAGUAACGAUAAAGCGGGUGAAAAGCCCGCUCGCCGGAAGACCAAGGGUUCCUGUCCAACGUUAAUCGGGGCAGGGUGAGUCGACCCCUAAGGCGAGGCCGAAAGGCGUAGUCGAUGGGAAACAGGUUAAUAUUCCUGUACUUGGUGUUACUGCGAAGGGGGGACGGAGAAGGCUAUGUUGGCCGGGCGACGGUUGUCCCGGUUUAAGCGUGUAGGCUGGUUUUCCAGGCAAAUCCGGAGAAUCAAGGCUGAGGCGUGAUGACGAGGCACUACGGUGCUGAAGCAACAAAUGCCCUGCUUCCAGGAAAAGCCUCUAAGCAUCAGGUAACAUCAAAUCGUACCCCAAACCGACACAGGUGGUCAGGUAGAGAAUACCAAGGCGCUUGAGAGAACUCGGGUGAAGGAACUAGGCAAAAUGGUGCCGUAACUUCGGGAGAAGGCACGCUGAUAUGUAGGUGAAGCGACUUGCUCGUGGAGCUGAAAUCAGUCGAAGAUACCAGCUGGCUGCAACUGUUUAUUAAAAACACAGCACUGUGCAAACACGAAAGUGGACGUAUACGGUGUGACGCCUGCCCGGUGCCGGAAGGUUAAUUGAUGGGGUCAGCGCAAGCGAAGCUCUUGAUCGAAGCCCCGGUAAACGGCGGCCGUAACUAUAACGGUCCUAAGGUAGCGAAAUUCCUUGUCGGGUAAGUUCCGACCUGCACGAAUGGCGUAAUGAUGGCCAGGCUGUCUCCACCCGAGACUCAGUGAAAUUGAACUCGCUGUGAAGAUGCAGUGUACCCGCGGCAAGACGGAAAGACCCCGUGAACCUUUACUAUAGCUUGACACUGAACACUGGUCCUUGAUGUGUAGGAUAGGUGGGAGGCUUUGAAGUGUGGACGCCAGUCUGCAUGGAGCCGUCCUUGAAAUACCACCCUUUAAUGGCUGGUGUUCUAACGUUGGCCCCUUACCGGGGUUGCGGACAGUGUCUGGUGGGUAGUUUGACUGGGGCGGUCUCCUCCUAAAGAGUAACGGAGGAGCACGAAGGUUGGCUAAUCCUGGUCGGACAUCAGGAGGUUAGUGCAAUGGCAUAAGCCAGCUUAACUGCGAGCGUGACGGCGCGAGCAGGUGCGAAAGCAGGUCAUAGUGAUCCGGUGGUUCUGAAUGGAAGGGCCAUCGCUCAACGGAUAAAAGGUACUCCGGGGAUAACAGGCUGAUACCGCCCAAGAGUUCAUAUCGACGGCGGUGUUUGGCACCUCGAUGUCGGCUCAUCACAUCCUGGGGCUGAAGUAGGUCCCAAGGGUAUGGCUGUUCGCCAUUUAAAGUGGUACGCGAGCUGGGUUUAGAACGUCGUGAGACAGUUCGGUCCCUAUCUGCCGUGGGCGCUGGAGAACUGAGGGGGGCUGCUCCUAGUACGAGAGGACCGGAGUGGACGCAUCACUGGUGUUCGGGUUGUCAUGCCAAUGGCACUGCCCGGUAGCUAAAUGCGGAAGAGAUAAGUGCUGAAAGCAUCUAAGCACGAAACUUGCCCCGAGAUGAGUUCU